rnacentral:rRNA from 1 species
GACAGAGGUGCCGAGCGUUAGGCGGAAUCACUGGGCUUAAAGCGUGUGUAGGCGGGUCCGUAAGUACCUUGUGAAAUCCCACGGCUCAACCGUGGAACUGCUUGGUAUACUGCGGGUCUUGAGCCACCUAGGGGCAAGCGGAACAAACGGUGGAGCGGUGAAAUGCGUAGAUAUCGGUUGGAACGCCAAUGGUGAAAACAGCUUGCUGGGGGUGUGCUGACGCUGAGACACGAAAGCCAGGGGAGCAAACGGG